AUGAAGAGUCUCUACAUUGCUAAUCAAUGUUUCCUACUUUCCAAUGAAACAGUUACCAUUUCCAAGGCAUGCACAUGGCUCAAUGUUACCCACUCUUCUCAAUCCAAAGGCAUGUGAACCAGCCAUAGCAAAACUAUUUCCUUCCUUUUGCUCUCUCUCUCUCUCCUAUCACGCCAUUUUUCUCUGAUCUGAGAAAUUCAUCUUCCAUUUUCAGUCCCUCUUCUCUCUCCCGUGGCGGCGCCAAAUCUGGCCAUUUCAUCUCCGCCGCAACCGUGAUUCCGACCCACAGAAACCAUCACAAUUCAACUUCUCCAGAGAAAGAGAAAGAUGUCAUCGUAAUAUGAACCGAAAUCUUUCGUCGUUUCUCUCUCCCUUCAUCGACGAUGCUUCUUCUGUUGCUAAAUCUUAAACAUCCAUCAUGCUUAAUGUUUUAUUCCAUCGUUGUUCAGAUUUGUUGAUUUUGUGAAUUUUCUCUCAAGAAUCCUUAUGGAGUCAAUCAUUCUUCAUUAUUCUCAGUUUAUCUCCCUCUCCAACGCUUAAGAUGACUCAGAUUUUAAAAAAUCGGAGGUAUUGAAUGUUCAGAUUUCUAUUGAGGCAUUUCCUCAAAAUUGUUGCAAAUUUAUCUUGGUGGAUGAGGGUGGAGAAUGUGUUCCUUACAUGUGCAGUGCUGCUUAACAUGUGAUGGUUUAGUUUUAGCAAGCCUCUGAGAUUAACAUUGGAAUAUGUGGUCAUUUGUGUUGCUGAAGGGAUAUUUUCUCUUUCGCUGUUUUCUCUUUCUGUUUUCUCUGCAACUGUUCCGACGUUCUCCUCCAUUCCGAUUUCUCUCAUCACGGCAGCACGGGCGCGAAUAUGUAACUCCGGCGUCACCGAACAAACCAUCGCCGUCGUCAACUUUCAUCACGUCAUUACCAUCACCGCCAUGACAAUGACUCCGUUGCCGGCAGUCCCCUCAAUCCUCUUCAGCGAUCUCAUCCUUUAGGAUCAGCAGUGCAGAUGUCCAGGUCACACAGGGCAUUAGCCAAAAUACUUCAUCUAGUGUUGUGUCGUUGGUCGAUGACAUGCUUCAAUCUCGCAGAAUGACUAUUGAAGACUUAAUCGAAGCAUCAGAUGUAUGAGAACUUAAUUCCAUGACUACCUGUAGUUAAUCUUUUCAUAUUCAUUAACGUACCAUAAUACACAAUUCACAUAAAUGCCAUGGAAUUGUUCUUGCAACUGUGUGUGACAUCGAAAAAGAGUUUAGCUGGUAUUAUCAGGCGGUACAAAGUGUGCGGUUAGAGUGAAGACUAUUGAUGAUCGACUCUUUUGCCCGAAGUGUAACACUAGGAGGAAUGUUAUGCCUAGGUUCAAGGUGCACCUGCAAGUAAUGGAUCACACAGGGUCUACAAGUUUUAUCGUGUUUGACCGCAAUGUGCAGACUUAUGUUGGGAGAGGUGUUCAGGAUUGAGUUGAUGCACAAAUAUUUAUAAGAUUCAGUACUUUUUAUUUUUUUUGAUUAAAAAUAUAUGAUAAGCUUUGUAAAAAUCGUGUAAGUUUGGAGAUUGAAAAUAUAUGAUAAGCUUUCUAAACACCGCAAUUUAGGAGAUGCACUUUAUUAAAGUGAUUGAUCACGGUUAGAUAACCGCUAUUUAGAUCGACGUGUUACUAAAUAGCAGUGAUAAUAAUAAGCACAAUGAACAAUAAACUUCUUAUAAAUUGUGGUGCGGCUGUGCGAUCGUUAUCUGAUACUAUAUGUGUAACAUUAUUCAUGUGUAUAUGCAGAAUAACAAUGCAGCUGAUUUUCCUUCUGAGCUUGAUAUUUUCUAUGGGAAACAUAUGCUAUUCAAAGUUGAGGUAGCUGAUGGAAAUCUUAUACAUAAUUGGCGCAGCUACGAUGUUAAACGAAUCAGUGAUGAUGGGGAUAUGACAAAAAGGUUUAUGGUUCCACAUAAUAUCAAGGUUGAGGGCGUUGAUUCAUCCAAGCCUGCCGUUAAUCAAAAGGCAACUGAUGUCAUAUCCAGGUGAAUGAUUAUGAGAAAGAGGAUGAACAGACACCCUUGAAGCAAAGUUGCGGGGAAAAGAUCGGCUGAAAAAGGUGUUUCAGAGCUGAUGGCUUAUGAGUUGGAUGGCGAUGAAUCUGCCACAAAAUCAGUCAAACUGAAAAGUGUGAAGCUUGAGCCCAAAUAUUAAGAAUAGUGUCAUGUUGCAGUCCGUUUCAUCAAUUAUUUUAAAAAUUGUUUGAAUGUUAUGGUUUAUUUCUUCCGUAUUGUUUUUGUUUCUUGAAGUACUAUUGGUUCGUGUUACUUUAAGUACCGUUUAUGGUGUAUGACAUUUCUUAUCCGUCUUUGUUUAAUUCUAAAGUUAUCCU